rnacentral:lncRNA from 1 species
UUCGUCAACCCUGACCCGCCUCUUCGCCCAAAUCAUAACACACGCGAACGGACUCACAAAAUCCCUAAUCAAACGCGUACUGUUCUUCUUCUCAGAAGAACACACAAACCAAGCUCCAGAUUCCAUUCAAAUUCAGGCGAGUGAAUCCAAAAUCCCUAAUCCAUGCGUCCCUCCUUCUCUCAUCUCACCAUUUCUAGCGGUCUAACGCCAAUAUUCUCCUCUCCUCUCACUAGCUCAAAAUUGAGUUUUAUCUCACGAUUGGAAGCUUCUGGGAACGAUUUGCUGGAUGGGUGUGAGGCAUUGGAUUGAUUUCACUCAAUCCAAACCUACAUUCAUCAGGAAUUUCUUUUUAAAAAAAGAAGCUCUAUACGAUUUUGAAAGGUGACUAGGGAAAAAAUUUAGAGAAAAGGGUUGAAAGGUUUCUAAAAUGAAACUUCUAGUUUUCAGAUUUUAUUUUCUUCUUUGAAGAGUUCUUUCAAGGUUUAAGGGGAACAUAUAUACAAAAUUGUUUAUUUUUUAAUCUGGUUUUUGAAUGCCUAAGAGAUUGAAAUGAAUGGAGGUCGUUCAACUGGUUGUGAGAUUCAAGUUCGUCGACUUCGAUUUUCUACUGUCGUCUUGCUAGUUGCUGCUGAACCUCGUUAGGAUUUGGAGUCGAAGGUGUGUUGUCGAGUUUGUAAUUAUCAGGAAGUUUGAAAUAUCACGUAUAAUUUCCUUUCUCUUCUACAUUUCUGUUUUAAAGUGGUUUGAAUUGUGAGAUUUUGUUCAAUGGUAUUCUAUUCCGUGAUUGAAUUUUGUUGAUGAAUUUCUUCUCAAUGGUAUGAUGUGCUUGAGUAUAUCCAGCCAGUAGAAGCUGAGUCUGAAGGGUUGUCCUCUAUGCUUUCGCUUUAAUUGCUAUCAUGAUGUUGAGUUUUCAUGUAAGUGAGGAUUUCGAGUUAAUUUUCUGGGUUUAAAAGUCUAUUGGAAUGGUUCUGGUGUGGAAAUGGGACAACCUGUUCAAGGUUGGAUGUCUGCUUGAGUUGCUGCAUCAUUGACAUUAUCAGCUCUUUAUCUGCUGAUUUGAGCUUGUAAUUUGCUGUGCCUAGAUCAAUAUUGGAAUUGUGGUUCCUCUUUAGCUUCAAUAUAAGCUCAUAAAAUCAGUAAACAAUUAUUUUUUGGUGUUUAUCAUGACCUGCUAUGAAAGUUGAGAAAUAAGCAAUUCAGUGCUUGUUUUAAAGCUGCAGCUCGUCUAAUUAUAGCUGUCAAUGGGAGUGUUAUUCCUGGUCCCAUUGCAGCUUCAUUUAUUCCUAACACAAUCAGAUAUAGAUAGAUUUUUUGGUCAUUCGUGAAGGUCCAAGGUUUCAACUGUUGGAAUAUAGUCCAUGCUCAUGUUAACAGUAUGCUGCAGCUCUGAUUUGCUAGUCUAUGUUCCUGGGCUGCUCUCAUGUCAAAAGGAUGUCUGUAUACUCUAAAGUCAUGUCAUUAUAUUUCAUUGUUUCUGUUUUGCAUUCGAAAUUAUGAGAACAUUAAGUUAGGAACUUGGGUAUCUAUUGAUCGUUUGCUUUAGUCCUUGUUUGCUGUAUACAGUUGAGUGUGUCACUGACUUGAGGAUCCAUUACAGUCCUUUGUAUGCAUUCUUCUGUUAAAUUGUGAUUUCCUGACCUAUGAUGGAACUUGGUACCUAUGUAUUUUGUUGUUAAGAUGUUUUAUUCAAACAUCUCAAUGGUAAUCAGUUUAUUUGAGGUUUCCUUACCUGUGCUGGAUUCAUUGUGAUUUAAUCAUUGAAGUUCC